rnacentral:rRNA from 1 species
GACGAACGCUGGCGGCGUGCUUAACACAUGCAAGUCGAACGGAAAGGCCUUUUCGGAGGUACUCGAGUGGCGGACGGGGGAGUAACACGAGGGUGAGCUGCCCUGCACUCUGGGAUAAGCCUGGGAAACUGGGUCUAAUACCGGAAAGGACCGCACUUUAGUGGGGGUGGGGGAAAGUUUUUUCGGUGGAGGAUUAGCCCGCGGCCUAUCGGCUUGCUGGUGGGGAGAUGGCCUACCAAGGCGGCGGCGGGUAGCCGGACUGAGGGGUUGGUCGGCCACCCUGGCUCCGAGGGGCGGCCCCGGCACCGACUGGUGGCAGAUGUGGGGAAUAUUGCACGAUGAGCGCCAGCCGGGUGCAGCGACGCCGCGGGGGGGAUGACGGCCUUCGGGUUGAAAACUCAUUUCGCCAGGGACGAAGCGCUUUGUGACGGUACCUAGAGAAGAAGCCCCGGCUAACUACGUG